UCGGUGAAGACGCUGCCACGCUGGUCCUGGCCUUUGUCCACUGGAGGAAAAAAUCCGCGCCUCAUCUCGUUCGACGCCCGCUCCUCUCUUUCGGCUCCGUCGCCCCCUCGCCGUUUCGCAUACUGACGGCGCUCCUCCCUGCCCCCGCCGUCUCAGAUAUCUGGCCGGCCUACCUGCCUUGCCGCCUCCUCCACCAGAUCCGGGGGGCGCCGGGUGAGAGGAGCACCGUCGCGGAUCCGGCCGGACUCCCUGCCCUGUUGCCUCUCCUCCACCGGAUCCCAGCGGCCAGGUGAGAGGAGCCGAGGGCGAGAAGGGGCCAACAAGAACACGCGAGGGAGGGGGCUUCUCCUCCACCCGCGCGACGACGGUGAAGCGGGGGCGGCGCGGAGGGUGCUGGGAGAUGGCAACGGUAAAGGAGGCUGGCUCCUCUCCCCUUCCCGGGGGUCCUUACUCGAUUUAGCGUGGGAGGCGAUGCGUCCGUCCAUGACGUCACACGCGAGGCACUGGGCCGGUGGCCAGCGGCGGCGCACCCGACCAGGUCCGAGCGUGUGGGUGGCGGCCUCCUCAAGCUCGGGCGGCGCAGCGUCGGCAAUCCCAUAUGGGGUACUAAGUUGGCGGUUCCAGCGUGGGUGCAAUGCGUACCUACACCGCCCUCGCCUCCUAUGCCCACCUCCACCGUUCCCAGCCUCCCGACACAGAGGCAUUGGCCACUUUGUCUCCACGCUAUCUGCCUGCACGGGAAGAGAAGUUUUAGGAAGGGCUCCGCUCUGAUUUAAGAUAGCAGUACAAUGGUGUUCGUGCCUUCUCCCCGGUAGGGAUCAAAAUUGAGGUGCCUACCGAGGCUUCUACAUUGCUCCAGCUCAAACUUUCAAAGGGAGUACCACCUGACAAAUACGUAUUUGCCUUGGUGCGGAGGCAGUGCCUGUGGCCGGUGGGGAGGAUGAGAGGAGCUGCGUUCGACGAGUCCGCACUCCUUGCCUCCCGCCUACGCCGCCACCAGAUCGGCAGCGGCGGUGACAAGCCCAUCACGCUCCACUUCAGCGACCUACAUGGCUUUGCUGCCCGCGCAGACGGCGGUGCCGGGGUUCUCGCUCCGGGCGCUGUUCACGGACCGGUCGCGGGAGGAUAUGUACGUAGCCUUCAAGUCCCCCAAUGCUGCUAUAGGCGAUCAGGCGCUGUACAACGGGCUCAUAGCCACCAGUAUGCAUGAUGCCGCCACCGUGCAACUGCAGUUCGGGCAGGCAUAAUGCAGGUUCCCUGGAGAAAAAGAAAGAAGCAAAUGCUGGUUCCUUCUACCAAAUCUAGGGGUGAAACGAAAAACCUGAAGGUGAAAGUGGAUACUUCAAAUGCUUGGUGCAACAAAUUUGGUGAGGGGAUUUGAGAAAAAUGCACAUGCUGUGGAAGUUACGCCAAUUCCUCUGAAAAUCUCGGAUACCAGUACAGCAAAAUUGUCACCUGUUGGAAGUCUAGAACCCAGAGAUGCUGAAAUGGUCAGGCCUUUAUGACCUCAUUCACAAGACCUAGAGAAGGAUGGCUAAACUCUCGAAGUACAAGCUGGUCACUAUUUGAUUCUUAUAAGUAGUUUGUCUUCCGUCAUCUCAACUGAAGGCCCUGCAGUCAUUUCAACUGAAGGCCCUGCCAGAAACUGCAGUUGAUAAGCCAGAUGAACAAUCAUUGAAUGGAAACUUGCGGUGGUGCUAAAUCCUGAUGAGCAUGAAGCCUGACGAAUUUUUUGAAAGCUCCGAUGUUCAUUCGCCUUACGGUCCGCUUGCUUUCGGCGCUCAGUGCUGCUCUAGACGUCUGCGCCUGUGUGCUUGGUACUACGGUUUCGGUUUGGAAACAUGGGUACCUUCAUCACAUCUGUUUUGUUGGAUUCUAUGGUUGGUGUAUAAAUGAUGGAAGGGCCAGGAUGAUGUUCAUGGUGCUGGUAUUGUUUGCUUUUGCAUCUGGUUUUUCGUUUAUUUCAGGUUGGAAGUUCAGGCUCAUUGUGGUCUGCAGUUUAUCUACGGAUUUAGUUCGUUGUGUUGCUGGCUAGGGUGUUGGUUUCAAGUUUCGCUCUGAAGUAUGCAAUAUGAUGAAGCUAGUGGUGCCCUGCAAGUUUAUAACCACAUCUACCUUUUGAGAAGAAUUUGCUUUGCUAGAUUACCGUUCCAAGUACGUUUUGCCUGUUAUGGAUUAGGUCAGCCUCCGGUUGUUGCUCUGUAUAUAGUUCGUUGGUUUGUCGAGACCUUUUUUCGCUGUACUGUGGUCACUUCAUGUGCCUUCAAGCGCGCUACGCUUGACUUGCUUGGAAAACCUGUAGCUGGAAAAUAAUAUUACCUGUGUGGUGCUCUGCCUUACCAAA